rnacentral:rRNA from 1 species
CAAGUUUUGAUGGCGACCGGCGCACGGGUGAGUAACACGUAUCCAAACCUGCCGAUGACUCGGGGAUAGCCUUUCGAAAGAAAGAUUAAUACCCGAUGGCAUAGUUCUUCCGCAUGGUAGAACUAUUAAAGAACUUCGGUCAUCGAUGGGGAUGCGUUCCAUUAGGUUGUUGGCGGGGUAACGGCCCACCAAGCCUUCGAUGGAUAGGGGUUCUGAGAGGAAGGUCCCCCACAUUGGAACUGAGACACGGGUCCAAACUCCUACGGGAGGCAGCAGUGAGGAAUAUUGGUCAAUGGACGAGAGUCUGAACCAGCCAAGUAGCGUGAAGGAUGACUGCCCUAUGGGUUGUAAACUUCUUUUAUACGGGAAUAAAGUGAGGCCACGUGUGCCUUUUUGUAUGUACCGUAUGAAUAAGGAUCGGCUAACUCCGUG